AAGACUAUACUUUCAGGGAUCAUUUCUGUAGUCGGUAACUAGAGGAGUGUGAUCGAAAGUGACUGGUCUCGCAAGCCACGAGGAGGAGCGGUAGUGCUCUCUUCUGAGCGCGAAGCGGGCUGGCGGCGCUGCUGCGCGGCUGCCGCGGGCCAUUGAUGACCGUUCUCGCCGCCUCCGGGCGGCGGGAGGGAGAGAACACGGGCUGAGUGGU